rnacentral:rRNA from 1 species
CCUCCCCAGGCGGAGUGCUUAAUGCGUUAGUGUCAGCACUAAGGGGCGGAAACCCCCUAACACUUAGCACUCAUCGUUUACGGCGUGGACUACCAGGGUAUCUAAUCCUGUUCGCUCCCCACGCUUUCGCUCCUCAGCGUCAGUUACAGACCAGAGAGUCGCCUUCGCCACUGGUGUUCCUCCACAUCUCUACGCAUUUCACCGCUACACGUGGAAUUCCACUCUCCUCUUCUGCACUCAAGUUCCCCAGUUUCCAAUGACCCUCCCCGGUUGAGCCGGGGGCUUUCACAUCAGACUUAAGAAACCGCCUGCGAGCCCUUUACGCCCAAUAAUUCCGGACAACGCUUGCCACCUACGUAUUACCGCGGCUGCUGGCACGUAGUUAGCCGUGGCUUUCUGGUUAGGUACCGUCAAGGUACCCCCUAUUYGAACGGUACUUGUUCUUCCCUAACAACAGAGCUUUACGAUCCGAAAACCUUCAUCACUCACGCGGCGUUGCUCCGUCAGACUUUCGUCCAUUGCGGAAGAUUCCCUACUGCUGCCUCCCGUAGAGUCUGGGCCGUGUCUCAGUCCCAGUGUGGCCGAUCACCCUCUCAGGUCGGCUACGCAUCGUUGCCUUGGUGAGCCGUUACCUCACCAACUAGCUAAUGCGCCGCGGGUCCAUCUGUAAGUGGUAGCCAAAGCCACCUUUUAUGUUUGAACCAUGCGGUYAAACAACCAUCCGGUAUUAGCCCCGGUUUCCCGGAGUUAUCCCAGUCUUACAGGCAGGUUACCCACGUGUUACUCACCCGUCCGCCGCUAACAUCAGGGAGCAAGCUCC